AGGUGGUGCAUGGUUGUCGUCAGCUCGUGUCGUGAGAUGUUGGGUUAAGUCCCGCAACGAGCGCAACCCUCGACCUUAGUUGCCAGCAUUCAGUUGGGCACUCUAAGGUGACUGCCGGCUAAAAGUCGGAGGAAGGUGGGGAUGACGUCAAAUCAUCAUGCCCCUUAUGGACCUGGGCUACACACGUGCUACGAAUGGGCGGUACAAAGGGUCGCGAACCCGCGAGGGGGAGCCAAUCCCAAAAAGCCGCUCUCAGUUCGGAUUGCAGGCUGCAACUCGCCUGCAUGAAGCCGGAAUCGCUAGUAAUCGCGGAUCAGCAUGCCGCGGUGAAUUACCGGUUCCCGGGCCUU
rnacentral:rRNA from 1 species